AUACGGAGGGGGUUAGCGUUGUUCGGAAUUACUGGGCGUAAAGCGUACGUAGGCGGAUUAGAAAGUAUGGGGUGAAAUCCCAGGGCUCAACCCUGGAACUGCCUCAUAAACUACUAGUCUAGAGUUCGAGAGAGGUGAGUGGAAUUCCAAGUGUAGAGGUGAAAUUCGUAGAUAUUUGGAGGAACACCAGUGGCGAAGGCGGCUCACUGGCUCGAUACUGACGCUGAGGUACGAAAGUGUGGGGAGCAAACAGGAUUAGAAACCCCGGUAGUCC
rnacentral:rRNA from 1 species